GGGUACUCAUAGGUAGCCAUGUUGCCAGAGGGAGGGGGUCACCCAGCCCACAAUGGUGUCACACGUCCAUUAUUAUGGUCCAGUAGCAGGUAGAGCCCCAGAAAUAUGGAUGGGGGGGGGGGUUCACCCCCUAGUAAUAACAGGUCUGAAUGUGGGGCCAGUAGCCCCGCUGAGGGGUAGGAGGGUCCAUAUAGCGAGAAGCUGACUCACAGACCACUCAGGUAUUAUAUUAGGAUACACUUUUGAAGUGU
rnacentral:lncRNA from 1 species